rnacentral:lncRNA from 1 species
AUUUCUAACUCUUCCCAAGGGAUCUUGAGCUCAGAGUAGAAUAGAGUUAACGUACGAGAUUCUAAUUUGAGAUUCUAAUUCCUGUACCUUUGCUUGUGCAUGUAAUGAAUUGUCUUGUCUGAGUUUCGCCAAAAUUAUGCAGGAUCUUUUGUAUUGUUUUACAGUCAUGCACUUCUUGUGCUUGGUCAUUUUUAAUAUAAUUUUCUUUUUCCUCUGCAAAAAAUAAAGAGACGUAUAAUUUAGACUUAAUAAACCAUAACUUUUGUUAUCUAAGCUCUUAUCCAAUACUUACCUUCUUCUCUGCAGAUUGGUUUUUUACCAAAUAGAAGCUUAGAUAUUCCGAUUGAUAUGAAAGUGAAAAUUUAAAGAAAAACAGUAAUGAUAAAAAUGAAUAAAUUUUUCAUUGAUAUGAACUUUUUACAACCAAGUAUAAUAACAAGAGAUUCCUCAUUGAAGGUUAGAAACUAAACAACUACAAAAAUUGUUCAUAUAUCUAUGUCAGUCUUAUACAAGAGGGUUAGCAGUUAUCUAAUUCAAGCUAGAAGUUAUUUCAACGAAAACAUCUUCACUGCAGGGAAUAGUUAUACCACCCAUUGGAUGGUCAUAUCCGAAUUGUUCCUCAGAUUGGCUCAGCAAUUCUUGGAAUGAUGUUUGGUUUAAGCAUGAUACAGGGAUAACAAACCGCUUCAUUUUCUCUCCAACAUACACUGCUAAAUAUCCCUUUGGAACAUCCGCACCUUUUGAAGAUGAUGUCUUUGAUUUGAUGAUACUAAGUAAACGAAAACCCAUUGUUGUAUAUUUGUGUUGAAAAAAAGAGACUGAUCUAAAAAAGAUAGACUUGUAUAUAGAAGACUCAAGUUUUUGAACUUCAAAUGAGUUGGGAUGUGAAUGAUUUGUGUUGAUCUUAUGCAUGCUGCAAUGAAUAUAUAUAUAUACAUGAACGGAUAUGUAAGAAACAGUAGGAAAGUUGAAGGAUGACCAUGUGAUGGAUGUUAAUCAUGCAAGGUAUGGGAAACAAGUGCAUAUGAAUGAUCACAUGGUGUGUUUUGGAGGACUUGCUCAAGUGUCAAUGUCAGAUUAAUUUAUGGUAGAAAAUGUCUCCCCUUGAAAAAAGGCUAAUGUCUAUGAUCCAUUACCAUACAGUUCGUUAGGCAGAUACCAGCUGGAAAUCAACACAUCAUCAUAAUGAAGAAAACAUGUCUAAAGCAUGUUUACACAAUUAUGAAGUACUAGUUAAUGCAUGAACAAAUAUGAGGUUGUACUUGAAAGGGUAGGGUACAAUCUUAAGACAACUCCACAUGAUAUAUCAUCAUACCCUUUUAACUCUUUCAAACAAUAAUUUAGCAUGGAGUUUGAAUUCCAGAGAACCUAAAUAACUAUAAAUAUACUUACAAUUGGAUUCAAACACAACACAAUUGUCAUUGGCUUCCUGAAGUGUUAGUUACAUCCUUCUAAAGCUUUUUUUGAUAUCUUUGCUCUGUUGAGUCUUUUCUUCUCCCUCAAACAAUCACCAAAAAUGGGUUUCCGUUUAAAUGUUAUUCGACGGGCAUCAUUAACUUCUAUCCAAACAACAUCAAAAUCCGCAGAAGUGAGAAAGGGCUAUGUUGCAGUGUAUGUUGGAGAGAAACAGAAGCGAUUUGUGAUCCCAAUAUCGUAUUUGAACCAACCAUCAUUUCAAGACUUAUUGAGUCAAUCUGAGGAAGAGUUUGGUUAUGAUCAUCCCAUGGGUGGCCUCACCAUGCCUUGCACCGAAGAUGUGUUUCAACACAUAACUUCUCGCUUGAAUGAGCUAUGAAUUUGAAACUGUAGCAAUAAUGAUAGAUUAGUAGAGACAUUUUGUACAAUAGGAAUCUUUUUAACUUGUAAAUUUUAUCCCCUUUCAUGGGAAAUUUAGAAAAAUAUUCAUCUGAAUACAAAGAAAACAAAACACUUUCAUAUCUUUUUCUUGUUUAAUGACACUGAGUGAGCUCACUUGCUUUAUCAAUUUCAUUAUUCUCUCAGCAAAUUGCUCUCUGAAAGGGAAAAAAGUAGACAUGAAUGUACUCAUAAAUAUAACAGUAGAAAUGGAUAAUAUUAACUGUAACAGUAGACAUGAAUGUUACUGUCACUUCUGAAUUUAAAAUUUAAACACAACAAUAAAUAA